GCAAUAAGGAAGUGACAAUGUACCAAAAAAACAAAUAAAUUAGGAAAUGACACCACCCAAAAGCUGUAAAGCAAAAGUCUAGGCAUAUAUACCAAGCUCCACAUUCUUCCCAGCUCCCUUUAGCAUAAUUACAACUCUACCCCUGAAAAUCAUCUUUUUUCCUUCUUGCUCUUCUCAAUAUAUCCCGUAAUUUCAUCAUUCUACAAGGGCAUUUCGUUCCACUUUUUACACACUCCCAACAUUUUCAUCACCAAAUUCACCACCUUCUUUCCCAAACAAAAAUUCUCCAUUACAAAAAUCUAUAAUCAUCACACACAUCAUCAAUACGUCAACGUUUUGAUCUUCCAUACACGAUGCCGGAAAUAGAAAGACACCGAACACGUCAUCACCGACCGGCUAAUCCGGUAAGAAACAGAGUACCUUUACGUCUGUUAUUCCGAGUAGCUUCGGUAGCCGGUGGAAUACAAUUCGGGUGGGCCUUACAACUGUCUUUACUGACACCAUACGUACAAGAACUAGGUAUACCACAUGCUUGGGCUAGUAUAAUAUGGUUAUGUGGACCGUUAUCAGGUUUACUGGUUCAGCCAUUAGUAGGUCAUAUGAGUGACAAGUGUACAAGUCGGUUCGGUAGAAGACGUCCGUUUAUUGUAGCAGGAGCAGUUUCGAUCAUGAUUGCUGUGUUGAUUAUUGGUUUCUCAGCUGAUAUUGGAUGGUUAUUAGGUGAUCGAGGUGAAAUCAAAGUAAGAGCUAUAGCUGCCUUUAUUGUAGGGUUUUGGUUACUUGAUGUUGCUAAUAAUAUGACUCAAGGUCCUUGUAGAGCUCUUCUUGCUGAUCUUACACAAAAGGAUCUUAGAAGAACCCGGGUGGCAAAUGCAUACUUUUCUCUAUUUAUGGCCAUUGGUAACAUCCUUGGCUUUGCAACUGGAUCUUACAGUGGCUGGUACAAGACCUUCCCUUUCACCCUCAGUUCUGCGUGCACCAUCAACUGUGCCAAUCUAAAGGCUGCUUUUAUUCUCGAUAUUAUUUUUAUCGCAACAACUACUUGUAUCAGCAUAUCAGCAGCCAAUGAGCAGCCUCUAGAUCCCAGUCGUGGUUCCUCUCAUACUGGAGAAGAGAUUGCCGAAUCAAGCCAUGGUCAAGAAGAAGCUUUUCUCUGGGAGUUGUUUGGUAUUUUCAAAUAUUUCCCAGGUGUUGUUUGGGUCAUCCUACUUGUUACUGCCCUGACAUGGAUUGGAUGGUUUCCGUUUCUUUUGUUCGAUACCGACUGGUUUGGUCGAGAAAUUUAUGGUGGUGAACCAAAUGAUGGAAAGAAUUAUAGUGCAGGAGUCCGAAUGGGUUCGUUGGGUCUAAUGUUGAAUUCCGUGCUUCUUGGAGUAACUUCAUUGUUCAUGGAGAAGCUCUGUCGAAAAUGGGGGGCUGGUUUCACAUGGGGAGUUUCAAAUGUUGUCAUGUCCCUCUGCUUUAUAGCCAUGCUUAUAAUUACUGCUGUUAGGAGUAACAUAGACAUUGGCCAGGGUCUUCCCCCAGAUGGCAUUGUUAUUGCGGCGCUAGUUGUAUUUGCUAUUCUUGGGAUCCCACUAUCUAUAACAUACAGUGUUCCAUAUGCUUUAGUAUCCUCAAGGAUUGAAGCUCUUGGGCUUGGACAAGGCUUGUCAAUGGGCGUUCUGAACCUGGCAAUUGUGUUCCCACAGAUCGUGGUUUCACUUGGAAGUGGACCAUGGGAUGAGCUAUUUGGUGGUGGCAACUCGCCAGCCUUUUUUGUGGCUGCACUUUCAGCAUUUGCUGGUGGACUUAUAGCCAUCUUGGCGAUUCCUCGAACACGGGUUGAGAAGUCCAAGAUCCUUGUAUGAGGUUAUUUUGUCGUCUUGGAAGAUGAGAUUGAUGGUGCUGGUAAUUCUCCACAUUGGCCUCGGCAGGAGCGUAAUUUUCUGAGGUGGCCGUUUUGACUAUUCCUCUAUUUGAAUGCUGAAGAGUUUGCGGAGAUAUUCCAUCUUAUCUGCACAAACACAGCAGAGGACUCAAGUUUGCCUCUCUUUUAUGUCUGAUGGGCUAUUUGGAAUCAAGGUUGUGCUUUUGUUAGCCAAUCAUGGGCAUGGAGUCUGUGCCCUAGCUAAUUAUCCUGAAAAAGAAGUGAAGUUGAAGCUAGGGAUCCUUAUUUGUCAUUAGGCUUUAUUCUUUGACCAAAAAUAUCAUGUUUUUAGCAAGCUAACUUGCUUAGGUGACAUAUCAAGGCGCCCCCGAAUCUCAUGCAAUUUGUGCAUGAUAUUGGUGAAUUCAUUUAAUAUAUUGUGAUUGAGGCUAAACAGUUCCGGCAGAUUGAGACCUUGAUUAAGACAUAAUUUUUCAUUAUGAUUUUUUUUUGUGUAUGUGAAGCUUGGAUGAUAAAGAAAGGUU